AGGAAGGGCGUGACCUUAAAGGGGCUUGUGCCUUUCUUUGCCCCUUCCGCCUUCCGGAUGGAUGAAAGCAGAAGCAGUGGCUGGAGCUAGAGCAGCUAUUUAGGACUAUGAGAUGGAAGAAAUGUGGUGACAAUAGCAGAACAAAAAUAUAGAAAUCUUGGAGAAUGAAGAUACUGUCAUUACCUCUGCAAAGAAUGCAUCCUAGCACAGAUCAAAGAUCUUCCAAGUCCAGCCACACCAUUUUACAGUUCUGAACCUCGACUUAGGAAAGCAGUGGAUCUUUAUACAUUUGACACAUCCCUUCCCUCUAGGAUCUCUGUGGCUAUUGAAAAUGGACUGGAGAAGAUGAGUGGGAGUGAGAAGAGGAUAACAGAAUCAGAUAAAAACCUGUCAUGUUACUAAGAGCAGGAGAUGAGGCAGCCUGGACCAAGAUGGUGGCAGAGAGAAGAAAAUUGCUUGAGAGAAUUGAUUAAACUACUUGGUUAGCACAGAUAGAGCUGAAUCAAAAAUUAGGAUGGUAAGCUAAGUAAUUUUACACACAAAAAGGCAGAGUUGCAUUCAUAAUUAGUCUCUCCUUCAGACUGAAUAUUACAGACAAAAUAUAGCCAUUGGUGUUGCAAUCACUUCCUUUGGGUUUGUAUCCAAGGUUAAGAAUGUCAGCAUCCAAAGACCCAAAUUCUUAAUGUUUUUAGUUGAUAAAGUUUAUUCAAGGUAGACAGCCUGUGUUGAAUAACUUAGUCUUCCACAAAUUUCAAGAAAAAUCCAUUGUCCCUCUUCUCCGCCACAGACACACUUUAGUUGAACAUUAAGCAUAUUUAUUAAAGAAACAUUCUCCUUGUGCUUUUUCUCCCAAGAUGGAUGGUGUUCUUACUUAGAGUUAUAAGUGUCAGAAUAAAAAUGCCCAUGAGGUUGAAUUGUAUGAUGUUAUAGUAAAGUGAGAUAAACAUUCUCAGAAACAUGAUUGUGACUUAAAAAAAAAAAAAACCAACAAACCACUUUCUGUAGAGGAAUUAUGCUUUGGGGACAGAAACUUUCCUUUAUAAUUUUUACAGCUGCACGCAGAUAAAGUGUAUUAAAAAGGCACAACACAUCAAUUAUGAAAACAUGGCUACCCUUUAAGAGAACACAGACUUUUUCCAGAUCCAUCUUAAAUCUCAGGAAUUCUAGAUCGAGACAGGCAUGAAUGCUCCUGUUGCUGAAAUCACUCUGAUUUCCUUCUUGUUAAACACUUCACUCAGCAACAUUAUAGAUUAGCACCAAAAAAGUUGUUUGUAGGUGAAAAACUGUUCAGAAAAGGACACCUUAUUAGGCAGGCUGUCGAUUUACAAAUAAAAGCCGAUUCUGGCUCUCCUGAAUGAAAAGAA
rnacentral:lncRNA from 1 species